GACAGAGGAUGCAAGCGUUAUCCGGAAUGAUUGGGCGUAAAGCGUCUGUAGGUGGCUUUUUAAGUUCGCCGUCAAAUCCCAGGGCUCAACCCUGGACAGGUGGUGGAAACUACCAAGCUAGAGUACGGUAGGGGCAGAGGGAAUUUCCGGUGGAGCGAUGAAAUGCGUAGAGAUCGGGAAGAACAUCAGUGGCGAAGGCGGUCUGCUGGGCCGUUGCUGACGCUGAGGCGCGACAGCGUGGGGAGCAAACAGG
rnacentral:rRNA from 1 species